CGGGGGUGGGGCGGGGAGGGGGCUCAGCCAUCCGCCCCCAUUCACAAAGUCAGGAUCGCGGCACCCCGGCCCACCCGGCCCUGCGCCUGCGCGUUCCCGCCCGCGUGUCUCCCGCCCUGGGUCCGGAGCGCAUGCGCGGCCGAGGGCGGGUCUUCCCCCUCCCUCCCAGCGCCCCGCGAAAGCUCUCACCUCCCCCACGUCAAAGAACAAAGAACGUCUAGAGCGCCGGGUCCCUGAGGAAGGCUGAGCUGUCAGGGCACCGACCUGCCCGCGUCUGCAGGUUCUCCUUCCAUUUCUUCUUCCCGGUCCCCGAGCUGCAGCGAGCCCCCCCCCCCCUCCGGCGCCCGGAAUCCGCGCUGCGUCAGCCGGAGCCUCGCGGGGAGAAAGAAGGCUUUGGAGUAGGGUCGAGGGGCGACGGAGGGGGGUCCUUGAUGGGGUCACCCAGAGACCGCUGCCACAGUAAAGCAAUCUUGACUGGAGGGGGGGGCGUCCUGGCAAAGAAGCAGCCCAGGGGUGCUGGCGUGCUCCUCGUGGGAACCGGUGGCGCGGCGCACCCGUGGGCUCUGUCUGCCCAGGGCCCCGCCUACGGGCCACCCUGCCCCCAGGGCCCUUACACGUGCCCUGACCCGCAUCCCUUGGGUCUCUAGCGCGCCCCGGAUAGCUUCUUCCUGCGCGUUUUCGUGGUUCCAGACGGCGAGGGUCGAACUCUUUCACUGUCCUGACAAGCGCUGCCUCCAGACGACGGCUGGGGGUCCGCCCUGGCUCCUGACGCUAGGGCUGGGGAGAAAGCUAGCUGUCUAUUAUCCGGAAGUCAGAGUUCUGGGUGAUUAAGGGUAAACAGGAAGCCCGCGCCAGUGACGGGGUCCCAGGAAGACCCCGAGGCCGCGGGCGGGCCUCACUCUUCACUCCUGUUCCUGGAGCCCAGUGGGGGGAGCACGUGGGGUUCCUUACCAGCGGCGGGGCUGACAGAAGGUUCACGAAUAGCACUGUGGGGACGAUGCAGACAAACCCACAGCAGUAGGACGGCACGUGAAAUAACCAGCCGAAAAUUAACAGGAAGCCCUGUGCAAACCAAGUGUUACCUUCGGAGGUGGCUUCAGUUGCUGAAGGUGUCCCCCCCCCCCCCCACGUUCCCCUUGCGGCUCCCUGCAUUUCACGGGGGAAGCUGUCCCGUCUCAGCGUCAGCGGCCAACCCCCACGCCCACGAAGAUGCCCAAGGACCGCGGCCUCCCCCAGACUCGCCUCACCUACAGCUCUGCUGACUUUGCCACCUAAAACCCACGGCACCGAGCUCCACGUCCCAGAGCCCCGGAUUGGAUAAAGGACAUCGGGAGCCCACAGGAAGGCUCCCCGUCUGCCCGUCCGGCGGCCUCACGCGUGGCCUGCGCUCCAAAUUCCCCCCUGACCUCAGGCCACAGCACGGCCGCUCCUCUGCCUCCUCCGGAGCCCCUCCCGGCCGAAUUCGCCUUCGCCCCCCUGCAAGACUCCGCCCAAGGGCCUUCAAGCAGUCACUUCCACCCGGAGGAGAGGCAGCCCAGGCCCGCACAGCUUGGUGGGCCCCCCUCCGCUGGAGGAGCCUUCCCCACGCUGGCCGCCCCCCGCCAGGCUGGACUCCGGCAGGCGGGGCCCACGCUGUCUGUGGCUCUUCCCACACGGCGGCAUCCUCCCCCCACCCUGCGGGAACCGGGCUGAUCCUUCAAGACCCAGCCAGCACCGCCCAGGUCGCCGUCACCCGUGCAUACUCGUCACAGAGCCGCGUCCCCCCGCACACCGCGGGACCGAGACUGUUCCGCGGUGAGAAGGAUCUGAGGCGACUUUGAUCGAAACUUCACAAAGACUGAUUUCCCGGGAGUCCCGGAUUAGUUGAGAGCCAGAGGCUUAAAAUUAUACAUUCACUCAUUCAA